rnacentral:rRNA from 1 species
AUACGGAGGAUCCGAGCGUUAUCCGGAUUUAUUGGGUUUAAAGGGAGCGUAGGCGGACGCUUAAGUCAGUUGUGAAAGUUUGCGGCUCAACCGUAAAAUUGCAGUUGAUACUGGGUGUCUUGAGUACAGUAGAGGCAGGCGGAAUUCGUGGUGUAGCGGGGAAAUGCUUAGAUAUCACGAAGAACUCCGAUUGCGAAGGCAGCCUGCUGGACUGUAACUGACGCUGAUGCUCGAAAGUGUGGGUAUCAAACAGGAUUAGAUACCCUGGUAGUCCACACAGUAAACGAUGAAUACUCGCUGCUUGCGAUAUACAGUAAGCGGCCAAGCGAAAGCGUUAAGUAUUCCACCUGGGGAGUACGCCGGCAACGGUGAAACUCAAAGGAAUUGACGGGG